rnacentral:rRNA from 1 species
GACGAACGCUGGCGGCGUGCCUAAUACAUGCAAGUAGAACGCUGAAGGAGGAGCUUGCUCUUCUGGAUGAGUUGCGAACGGGUGAGUAACGCGUAGGUAACCUGCCUGGUAGCGGGGGAUAACUAUUGGAAACGAUAGCUAAUACCGCAUAACAGUAGACGUUGCAUGACAUUUACUUAAAAGGUGCAAUUGCAUCACUACCAGAUGGACCUGCGUUGUAUUAGCUAGUUGGUGGGGUAACGGCUCACCAAGGCGACGAUACAUAGCCGACCUGAGAGGGUGAUCGGCCACACUGGGACUGAGACACGGCCCAGACUCCUACGGGAGGCAGCAGUAGGGAAUCUUCGGCAAUGGACGGAAGUCUGACCGAGCAACGCCGCGUGAGUGAAGAAGGUUUUCGGAUCGUAAAGCUCUGUUGUAAGAGAAGAACGAGUGUGAGAGUGGAAAGUUCACACUGUGACGGUAUCUUACCAGAAAGGGACGGCUAACUACGUG